GUAUCGGCUAAUUGUGUGCCAGCAGCCGCGGGAAUACACAGGAUGCCAGUGAAAAGUUACAUCUUGGCUUCGUCGUUCUUACGUAAGUUUUGCCAAUUCAACAGUUAAACGUUAAAGUAGAGAUUAAAUUCUGUUAGAUUUCGUAGAGCGCCUGAAUAAGUUGAAUAAAGCGAAAUAAACUAAGGAACGAGAACUAGGGUCGCUAAUCGGAUUAGAUACCCGUGUAGUCCUAGUCGUUAAUCCUCAUGAAAGAGAGCCUAGUGAUAUUGUCUAUGACACUAAACUAGAGGUCCUGACAGCGUUGAGUUUUCGCGGUGGAGCUUGCCACUUAAUUUGUCACUACGCAGAAACCUUACCAUGAU
rnacentral:rRNA from 5 species